GGGGAUAUAGCUCAGUUGAUAGAGUGCUUGCUUUGCAUGCACAAGGUCCUGGGUUCUAAUCCCCAGCACCGCCA
rnacentral:tRNA from 1 species